AAACUCAAAGGAAUUGACGGGGACCCGCACAAGCGGUGGAGCAUGUGGUUUAAUUCGAUGCAACGCGAAGAACCUUACCUGGUCUUGACAUCCUGCGAACUUUCUAGAAAUAGAUUGGUGCCUUCGGGAACGCAGUGACAGGUGCUGCAUGGCUGUCGUCAGCUCGUGUCGUGAGAUGUUGGGUUAAGUCCCGUAACGAGCGCAACCCCUAUCCUUAUUUGCCAGCACAUUAUGGUGGGAACUAUAAGGAGACUGCCGGUGAUAAACCGGAGGAAGGCGGGGACGACGUCAAGUCGUCAUGGCCCUUACGACCAGGGCUACACACGUGCUACAAUGGGAAGGACAAAGAGCCGCGAAGCCGCGAGGUGUAGCUAAUCUCAUAAACCUUUUCGUAGUCCGGAUUGGAGUCUGCAACUCGACUCCAUGAAGUCGGAAUCGCUAGUAAUCGUAGAUCAGAAUGCUACGGUGAAUACGUUCCCGGGUCUUGUACACACCGCCCGUCAUACCAUGGGAGUGGGUUGCACCAGAAGUGGCUAGUCUAACUUAGUGAGGACGGUCACCACGGUGUGAUUCAUGACUGGGGUAAAGUCGUAACAAGGUAGCCGUA
rnacentral:rRNA from 1 species